CUGGCUCUGGGCGUCAACUCGGUAUUUCGAACCCUGUCAGAUCCGAAAGGAAGCAGCAGUAAGAAACCCCCCGGGUGUGACGUAUCCAGAGCCUUUUA
rnacentral:SRP_RNA from 1 species